rnacentral:rRNA from 1 species
GACGAACGCUGGCGGCGUGCUUAACACAUGCAAGUCGAACGAUGAAGAAAAGAAUUGCAGCUUCGGCAGAAAUUCAUUUCGGAUUAGUGGCAGACGGGUGAGUAACGCGUGAGCAACCUACCUCUUACAAAGGGAUAGCCUCGGGAAACCGGGAUUAAUACCAUAUAACAUUGCGACGAAGCAUUUCGAUGCAAUCAAAGCUACUGCGGUAAGAGAUGCUCUCGCGUCCCAUUAACCAGAUGGUGAGGUAACGGCACACCAUAGUAACGAUGGGUAACCGGGAUGAGAGGGUGAAUGGUCACACUGGAACUGAGACACGGUCCAGACUCCUACGGGAGGCAGGAGUGGGGAAUAUUGCACAAUGGAGGGAACUCUGAUGCAGCGCCGCCGCGUGAGUGAUGAAGGAAGUCGUGUAGUAAAACUCUGUUCGAUGGGAAGAAAAUGACUGUACCAUAGGAGAAAGCUCCGGCUAAAUACGUG